GGGAAAAGUGUGAAAAUUCAAGGAAACAAGUGAAAAAGGGUGGUGAAUCCUCCGAUAAAGGCAAAAAAAUUGUACUCGAGCAUCGAUAGUCGGAGUACUCUAAAAAUUCGACUCCCGAAAUACUUGCUGCAGUGGGCGGGUUCUGUGGACCAACCUAUUAGAGGGGCACGAAAUUCGAUUAUAUACGUACUUCGGUUGGAGAGACGCAUAGGAUAUCUCCUGAGGUAUGGUUAGAGUUCACGUCACGCUAAACCACCUCGUGAUGAUGAACUCCGCUAAUGCCAAGGAA